rnacentral:tRNA from 1 species
UGCAUCGGCCGGGAAUCGAACCUGGGCCGCCCACGUGGCAGGCGAGCAUUCUACCACUGAACCACCAAUGC